rnacentral:rRNA from 1 species
AUUGAACGCUGGCGGCAGGCCUAACACAUGCAAGUCGAGCGGAGCGGCGGACGGGUGAGUAAUGACUAGGACUGUGCCUGUUAGUGGGGGAUAACGUGCGGAAACGGGCGCUAAUACUGCAUACUCUUAGAUUCGCCUAGGUCGGAGUAGCUAUUUGGUGGGGUAAAGGCCUACCAAGGCGACGAUACCUAACUGGUCUGAGAGGAUGAUCAGUCCAACUGGAACUGAGACACGGUCCAGACUCCUACGGGAGGAAGCAGUGGGGAAUAUUGGACAAUGGGCGAAAGCCUGAUGCAGCCAUGCCGCGUGUGUGAAGAAGGUCUUCGGAUUGUAAAGCACUUUAAGUUGGGAGGCGUUACCAGCAGAAGAAGCACCGGCUAACUUCGUGCCAGCAGCCGCGGUAAUAC